rnacentral:rRNA from 1 species
GCUUUGACUAAGCAUUGCACGGUGAAUGCCGGCAGUCAGGGAAGGCGAUGAAGGCGUGCUAAUCUGCGAUAAGCGCCGGUAGGUGAUAUGAACCGUUAUAACCAGCGAUACCCGAAUAGAAGCAGUGUGACUCGUCACACUAUCAUUAACUGAAUCCAUAGGUUAAUGAAGGCGAACCGGGAACUGAAACAUCUAAGUACUUACGAGGAAAAGAAAUCAACGAAUUCCCCAGUGGCGGCGAGCGAACGGGGAGGCAGAGCCUGAAUCAGCAUGUGUGUGUUAGUGGAAGCGUGCUGGAAAGGCGCGCGAUACAGGGUGACAGCCCCGUACACAAAAGCGCAUGUGCUGUGAAGGCUCGAUAGUAGGGCAGGACGUGGUAUCCUGUCACGAAUAUGGGGACCAUCACUCCAAGGCUAAAUACUCCUGACGACCGAUAGUGAACCAGUACCGUGAGGAAAAGGCGAAAAGAACCCCGGCGAGGUGAAAAGAACCUGAAACCGUGUGCGGCCGCAAGCGGUAGAACUGGGAUUUACCUGUGUGACUGCGUACCUUUGUAUAAUGGGUCAGCGACUUAUAUUCUGUAGCAGGUUAACCGUAUAGGGGAGCGGAGGAAACCGGAAAGUCUUAACCGGGCGUUAAGUUGCGAGUAUAGACCCGAAACAUUGAUCCCUAGCCAUAGGCAGGUUGAAGGUUGGGUAACACUAACUGGAGGACCGAACCGACUAUGUUGAAAAAUUGUAGCGGGCCUGUGGCUGGGGUGAAAGGCCAAUCAAACCGGGAGAUAGCUGGUUUCUCCCCGAAAGCUGGCCCAGGUAGCGCCUCAUGAAUUCAUCUCCGGGGUAGAGCACUGUUUCAGCUGAGGCCAUCCCGGCUUACCAGCCCGAUGCAGAAACUGCGAUACGGAAAUAUUUAUCACAGGAGACACACGGCAGGUACUAACGUCCGUCGUGAAAAGAGAAACAACGAACCGCCAGCUAAGGUCCCAAAGUCAUGGUUAGAGUAGGGAAACGUGUGGGAAGGCCCGGAACAGCGGGGAAUGUUGGCUUAGAAGCAUGCAUGUUUAAAAGCGUAAUAGCUCACUGGUCGAAAUCGUACGCAGGAAGGAAAGAUAACAACAGAGGCUAAACCAUACGCCAAGCUGCGGCAGCAACGCUGAUACGUUGUUGGUAGGAAGCGUUCUACCAGCAAGCCUGUGAAGGUGUGUCGUGAGAGCAUGCUGGAAGGCCUUAAGUGCGAAUACUGACAUAAAAGUAACGAUAAAGCAGGUAGCGAAAAACCCGCUCGCGAAGACAAGGUUUCUGUCCAGCAUUAAUCGGGGCAGGUGAGUCGACCUAAGGCGGUGAAAAGCGUAGUCGAUAGGGAAACAGGUUAAUAUUCCCGUACUUGGUGUUACCUGCGAGAGGACGGGAAAGGCUACUUGGCCAGGCGGCAAUUUGUCCCGGUACUAAGCGUGUAGGUGUGUGUUCCCGAGUAAAUCAGUUCACUUUAACACUGAGCGUGACGACGAAGGCACUACGGUGCGGCAACAAAUACUUCCUUCAAAGGAAAACACUCUAAAAGCAUCAGGCAACAUCAAAUCUUACCCCAAACCGGCACAGGUAGUCCAGGUAAGAAAUACCGGCGAGAAGGAACUCAGGUGAAAAGGAACUGGGCAAAUGGUGCCGUAACUUCGGGAAGGCACGCUGACACAUAGGUAAGUGAUUUACUCACAGGCACAAAGUCAGUCGAAGAUACCAGCUGGCUGCAACUGUUUAUUAAAAACACAGCACUGUGCAAACACGAAAGUGGACGUAUACGGUGUGACGCCUGCCCGGUGCCGGAAAGGUUGAGUGAUAGGGUCCAGCGCAAGCGAAGCUCUGAUCCGAAGCCCCGGUAAGCGGCGUAACUAUAACAUUGGUCCUAAGGUAGCGAAAUUCCUUGUCAGGUAAGUUCCGACCUGCACGAAUGGCGUAAUGAUGGCGGUAUGCUCCACCAGACUCCAGUGAAAUUGAACUCGCUGUGAUACCGGUGUACCCGCGGCAAGACGGAAAGACCCGUGAACCUUUACUGUAACUGACACUGAACAUUGAGCCUUGAUGUGCAGGAUAGGUGGGGAGGAGGCUUUUGGUGUGGACGCCAGUCUGCAUGGAGCCGACAACGAAAUACCACCCUUUAAUGUUUGAUGUUCUAACGUGGACCCGUGCAGGUUGCGGACGGUGUCUGGUGGAGUAGUUUGAAACUGGUCUCCUCCUAAAAGUAACGGAGCACGAAGGUUGGCUAAUCACGGUCGGACAUCGGAGUUAGUGCAAUGGCAUGGCAGCUUGACUGCGGCGGCCAGGCAGCGCGAGCAGUACUGCUGGUCAUAGCCGUGAUCCGGUGGUUCUGAAUGGAAGGGCCAUCGCUCAACGGAUAAAAGGUACUCCGAGGACCGGCGGCUGAUACCGCCCAGGGGUUUAUAUCGACGGCGGUGUUUUGGCACCUCGAUGUCGGCUCAUCACAUCCUGGGGCUGAAGUAGGUCCCCAGGGUAUGGUAUUCGCCAUUUAAAGUGGUACGCGGCUGGGUUUAGAACGUCGUGAGACAGUUCGGUCCCUAUCUGCCGUGAGCGCUGGGAGGCAGGGGCUGCUCCUAGUACGGAAGGACGGAGUGGACGCACAUCACUGGUGUUCGGGUUGUCGUAUAGCCUGCGGUAGCUAAAUGCGGAAGAAGAUAAGUGCUGAAAGCAUCCUAAGCACGAAACACUGAGAUGAGUUCUCCUGAGACAGAGUCUCCUGAAGGAACGUUGAAGACGACGGCGUUGAUAGGCCGGGUGUGUCGUCUUAUUAAUUAUCUUCAGAGGCGAAACGC